rnacentral:ncRNA from 1 species
CAAAAUAUAGUAGAUUCGGGUGUCCGAGCUCCAAAAUGGAAGCCCGGGCUUAAAAGGGAAAGCGGUGCGAAACCGCUGCGGUCCCGCCACUGUAACCGGAUGUCCGUCCUCUUCAAACGCGCUAGAGAACGAAGACGGCAUCUUCCGGCACAUGCCACUGAAAGCCGCCAUUCGGGCCUUUGGGAAGGCGCCGGAAGAUGGAACGGAAGCCAGGAGACCUGCCUGCAUCUAGUGACGCCA